rnacentral:lncRNA from 1 species
CGGAUCUCUGCCGCUAAUCUCCUGGGGAGGCUGUGCUCUCAGCUUAAGCUCUCAGAAAAAAUAAGAGACAAGGUCUGACUCUGUGCAGUGGAGUGCAGUGGCUCAAUCAUAGCUCACUCCAGCCUCAGACUCCUGGGCCGAAGUGAUCCUCCCACCUCAAGCUCCUGAAUAGCUGGGACUACAGGCAACAAGCUCUGCCAAUUUUUUCUUCGAAGAGUUUUGUUCCAAGCUGGGAGCCGUGGCUCAUGCCUGUCAUCCCAGCACUUUGGGAGGCCAAGGUGGGUGGAUCACUUGAGCCCAGGAGUUCCAGACCACCCUGGGCAACAUGGCGAAACCUCAUCUCUACAAAAUUUUUUUUUUUAAUUAGCUGGGCAUGGUGGCAUGUGCCUGUGGUUCCAGUUACUUGGGAAGCUGAAGUGGGAGGAUCGCUUGAGCCCAGGAGGUCAAGGCUACAGUGAGCUGUGAUGGUGUCAUUGCAUUCCAGCACUCCAGCCCGGGCAUCAGAGUUAGACCUUGUCUUAAAAAAUAAAUAAAUGAAUAAAUAUAAAUAAAAAAUAAAAAGCUUUUACAG